GCCUGGGUGGCUCAGUAGGUUAAGCAUCUGUCUUUCACUCAAGUUAUGAUCCCAGGUGUCUUGGGAUCAAGCCCCACCUCAGGCU
rnacentral:tRNA from 1 species